GAUGAAGAACGUAGCGUAAUGCGAUACGUAAUGUGAAUUGCAGAAUUCAGUGAAUCAUCGAAUCUUUGAACGCACAUUGCGCCCGCCAGCACUCUGGCGGGCAUGCCUGUUCGAGCGUCAUUUCAACCAUCAAGCCCCAGGCUUGCGUUGGAGCCCUGCGGCUGCCGCAGCCUCCUAAAAGCAGUGGCGGGCUCGCUAUCACACCGAGUGCAGUAGAUUACUCUUCGCUCAGGGCGUGCAGCGGGUUCCGGCCGUGAAACCCCCUACUUUUAAAGGUUGACCUCGGAUCAGGUAGGAAUACCCGCUGAACUUAAGCAUAUCAAUAAGCGGAGGA
rnacentral:misc_RNA from 1 species